CGCGUCUUUUGUUGUGUUAUAUAUUUUAUCUCUUUUUAUUUUUUCUUAUUACAUUAUUUUUCCUUGAACGAUCAACCGACGACGACGACGACCACUUGCUCGUCUGCCUCAGCUUGAUAUCUCUUGGCUAGCAAAAUGAACGAGACACGACAGGAGAUAUUUUUUUUUGUUUUGUGUGAUGAUUGCCCACUGUUUUCCAACAUGUUUCAACUGCACUGGGAUCAAUAAAAUUAUUUAUUAUUGUUGAUAAUAAUAGUUAUAAAUUUAAUAAAAAUUUUAAAAUAAAAGGCGAAUAAAGAUGUGAGCAGUUUCAACAAAAACCCCAAGUGUCAAUAAUACUGACAUAAAAAAUCUGACACUUGUGUGGCUCAUCGAACAUGAAAUCAAUUAACCAUCAGGCUCAUCAACACAUCCAGAUGGCUGUGGAUGCUCAUGACUGUCAAACUCCAAUUAUCGAUAUAAAAAAUUAUGGCCAGAAAUUAAUUGGGACAUACAGCUGACAAGUGACUAAAGUCUUCUUACUAUAUUAAACGAAGAAUAGUGUUUCAGGUAUCAUUAGAUAUUUCGAAGUUGAUCAGGACUAAACACCAAGAAUGAUUGGCUGAAUAGCAUUUGCAGACAAUUUACUAAACAAAUACUGUAAAAAAUAAUAAUAAAGAGUAUAUUAAAAAAAGAUCAUUGGAUGAUGCAUUUGAAGGCUUUGCUUGAUGACUGCUUGCUGAG